rnacentral:rRNA from 1 species
CGAACGGGUGAGUAACGCGUGAGGAACCUGCCUCAAAGAGGGGGACAACAGUUGGAAACGACUGCUAAUACCGCAUAAGCCCACGGCUCGGCAUCGAGCAGAGGGAAAAGGAGUGAUCCGCUUUGAGAUGGCCUCGCGUCCGAUUAGCUGGUUGGUGGGGUAACGGCCCACCAAGGCGACGAUCGGUAGCCGGACUGAGAGGUUGAACGGCCACAUUGGGACUGAGACACGGCCCAG